rnacentral:rRNA from 1 species
AAUGAACGCUGGCGGCAUGCCUAAUACAUGCAAGUCGAACGAACAGACAGUAAGCUUGCGCCCUUGCCGUUGGCGGCGGACGGGCGGGUAACGCAUACAUCACCAUCCUAUAUUUCUGGGAUGACUACGUAAGGCCAGAUCUACUACUACCGCAUAUAUUCUACGGCAUGGUUCAGUAGUUAAUGACGCCUUUGCUGACUCAUAUAGCUGAUUCCGCGCCGCAUUAGCUAGUUGGUAAGGUAACGGCCUACCAAGGCAACGAUGCGUAGCCGACCUGAGAGGGUGAUCGGCCACACUGGAACUGAGACACGGUCCAGACUCCUACGGGAGGCAGCAGUGGGGAAUCUUCCGCAAUGGGCGAAAGCCUGACGGAGCAACGCCGCGUGAGUGAUGAAGGCCUUCGGAUCGUAAAGCUCUGUUAUUGGGGAAGAACAGAUGUGGAAGAAACCAUGCACGUUUUGACGGUACCUAAUGAAAAAGCACCGGCUAACUACGUG